GACGAACGCUGGCGGCGUGCUUAACACAUGCAAGUCGAACGAUGAAGCUAGAGCUUGCUCUGGUGAAUUAGUGGCGAACAGGUGAGUAACACGUGAGUAACCUGCCCCGAACUCUGGGAUAACUGCUGGAAACGGUAGCUAAUACUGGAUACGACCUACGAAGGCAUCUUCUGUAGGUGGAAAGAAUUUCGGUUCGGGAUGGACUCGCGGCCUAUCAGCUUGUUGGUGAGGUAAUGGCUCACCAAGGCGACGACGGGUAGCCGGCCUGAGAGGGUGGCCGGCCACACUGGGACUGAGACACGGCCCAGACUCCGACGGGAGGCAGCGGUGGGAAAUAGUGCACAAUGGGCGCAAGCCUGAUGCAGCAACGCCGCGUGAGGGAUGACGGCCUUCGGGUUGUAAACCUCUUUUAGUAGGGAAGAAGCGAAAGUGACGGUACCUGCAGAAAAAGCACCGGCUAACUACGUGCCAGCAGCCGCCGUAA
rnacentral:rRNA from 1 species